rnacentral:rRNA from 1 species
GUGCCAGCAGCCGCGGUAAUACGGAGGGAGCUAGCGUUAUUCGGAAUUACUGGGCGUAAAGCGCACGUAGGCGGCUUUGUAAGUAAGAGGUGAAAGCCCAGAGCUCAACUCUGGAAUUGCCUUUUAGACUGCAUCGCUUGAAUCAUGGAGAGGUCAGUGGAAUUCCGAGUGUAGAGGUGAAAUUCGUAGAUAUUCGGAAGAACACAAGUGGCGAAAGCGGCUGACUGGACAUGUAUUGACGCUGAGUGCGAANGCGUGGGNAGCAAACAGAUUAGAUACCCUGGUAGUCC